rnacentral:rRNA from 1 species
UACGUAGGUGGCAAGCGUUGUCCGGAAUUAUUGGGCGUAAAGCGCGCGCAGGCGGCUUCUUAAGUCUGAUGUGAAAUCUCGGGGCUCAACCCCGAGCGGCCAUUGGAAACUGGGAAGCUUGAGUACAGAAGAGGAGAGUGGAAUUCCACGUGUAGCGGUGAAAUGCGUAGAUAUGUGGAGGAACACCAGUGGCGAAGGCGACUCUCUGGUCUGUAACUGACACUGAGGCGCGAAAGCGUGGGGAGCAAACAGG